GACGAACGCUGGCGGCGUGCCUAAUACAUGCAAGUCGAACGAGAGCGCCCGGUGCUUGCACUGGUCAAUCUAGUGGCGAACGGGUGAGUAACACGUGGGUAACCUGCCCAUCAGAGGGGGAUAACAUCCGGAAACGGAUGCUAAAACCGCAUAGGUCUUCGAACCGCAUGGUUUGAAGAGGAAAAGAGGCGCAAGCUUCUGCUGAUGGAUGUACCCGCGGUGCAUUAGCUAGUUGGUGAGGUAACGGCUCACCAAGGCCGUGAUGCAUAGCCGACCUGAGAGGGUGAUCGGCCACAUUGGGACUGAGACACGGCCCAAACUCCUACGGGAGGCAGCAGUAGGGAAUCUUCCGCAAUGGACGCAAGUCUGACGGAGCAACGCCGCGUGAGUGAAGAAGGUUUUCGGAUCGUAAAACUCUGUUGUUAGAGAAGAACAAGUGCUAGAGUAACUGUUAGCGCCUUGACGGUAUCUAACCAGAAAGCCACGGCUAACUACGUG
rnacentral:rRNA from 1 species